UACGGGGGGGGCAAGCGUUGUUCGGAAUUACUGGGCGUAAAGGGCUCGUAGGCGGCCAACUAAGUCGGAUGUGAAAUCCCCAGGCUUAACCUGGGAACUGCAUCCGAUACUGGAUGGCUUGAAUCCGGGAGAGGGAUGCAGAAUUCCUGGUAUAGCGGUGAAAUGCGCAGAUAUCAGGAGGAACACCGGUGGCGAAGGCGGUUCUCUGGGCAUUACCUGACGCUGAGGAGCGAAAGUGUGGGGAGCGAACAGG
rnacentral:rRNA from 1 species